AAAGCACAGCACCAUGCACAAAGGGGUAGCUGAGGGGGGGCACAAUUACGCCAGGGGGCUGAGCUCAAGCCCCUACAGCUUCUAAUGGGGGGGAGGGCAGAGCAAACAUGAUGUACCCAGCCCCCCCUCUCUGCAGGGCAUGCAUAACACUGCACCACCCUGAGACCAGGCUGAGGGUGAUGCUAAACAUCUGGAUAGCCCCAGCACCAUCGCACAGGACAGCAUGGAGAGGGACCCCACGUAGCUACAUGCCCUGGUGCAGGGCAGCCUAGAGACCCUGACCUGUGUAACUGGGGACAUUACUCUCCAGCUCAGCCGAAUCUCACACACCACAUUGGGCCUGCGCCAUUUGGUCAGACAGCUGAGAAGAAACCGCUCACAAUUACUGAUGGAAGGAUAGAGGCUCAGCAGUUGGAAUAGAUUAAGAUUGAGGUUAACAUUAGCUACCUACAUCUGCAUGGAUAAGGAACUGGAGUAAAAAUCCAGAACUGCUGUGUUCAGUCAAUACCCCAGCUAACUUUCCAUGAAACUUGUAGAGUAAUGCAUCUCUGUUUUUACUGCUGGACAGAUCUCUACUUCGGAAAUUGUGCAUCUGGAAUUUUAUCAGCUAUGGAUCUGUCCCUGUGGCCUACUUCCUGCACAAGUCUUUAAAGAUCAAGAUUUCUGUUAAAUUUUUCCAAGAUGGUUGAGUUUGUGUGUUCAAAUAUCCACUGCUGUGUUGGAGAAGAGGGAUUGCAGGUAUUCAUAAAGAUCUUUCGGUCACUCUCACUGCAGUCCAUACAGCUGCUGCUUACUGGGUGAUAAAGGGUCUUGUCCUGAGGAAGAGAAAUUCAGAAUCAAAUUUGUGUGACUGGGGAACAUUCUGGGGGUCUACGGGGAAGUAAAGGGAAAGUCCCACUGAGGAAACAAAGCUGAGCCCAUUUUACUUAUUUGCUGCCCUAUAGCAUCUAGAUACAAACCUUUUAAUGGAAGGGUGUGUGUGUGUCAUUUGGUCUUGCCCUACUAGAUAUUUUACCCAUUGCAUACUUUUUUCGCCCUUGACUCCUACUCCUGACUUCCUGUUGGUUGCACACAACUCAUGAGCUAGAAAUGGAAAGGACGUAUGCAUCAGAUCUAAUCUAACAUCUAACGAACUUGCUAUCAGGAUGAGCAGUAGAAUGCAUCACUUCUGCAACCAUGAGUGCUAGAACUGGUUCAGAAAUCAACAUUUCCUGGUGAGCCCUGCCUGCAUACAUGGCAUGUGUCUGUCUGUGUUUGUCUACUUUUUCUCUCCUUGUCACUGGCACCCGGUCCAACCCUUGCAACAUCUGCCAGGCAAAGCAAAAGCAAACUAAAGCUAAAGGUAGCCAGCCAGUCAGGCAGCGGCACAGACAGCUGCAGUGGCACAGGAGCUAGCAAACAGAGCUCUAAACAGGGGAG